rnacentral:rRNA from 1 species
GUGGGGAAUCUUAGACAAUGGGGGAAACCCUGAUCUAGCCAUGCCGCGUGAGCGAUGAAGGCCUUAGGGUUGUAAAGCUCUUUCAGCUGGGAAGAUAAUGACUGUACCAGCAGAAGAAGCCCCGGCUAACUCCGUGCCAGCAGCCGCGGUAAUACGGAGGGGGCUAGCGUUGUUCGGAAUUACUGGGCGUAAAGCGCACGUAGGCGGACCGGAAAGUCAGAGGUGAAAUCCCAGGGCUCAACCUUGGAACUGCCUUUGAAACUCCUUGUCUUGAGGUCGAGAGAGGUGAGUGGAAUUCCGAGUGUAGAGGUGAAAUUCGUAGAUAUUCGGAGGAACACCAGUGGCGAAGGCGGCUCACUGGCUCGAUACUGACGCUGAGGUGCGAAAGCGUGGGGAGCAAACAGGAUUAGAUACCCGGGUAGUCC